GUCCCCACCUUAAUCUCACCUUCAAUUGUGAUAAUCCCCAUAUGUCAUGGGAGGGACCUGGUGGGAGGUAAUUGAAUCAUGGGGGCAGGCUUUUCCCAUGUUGGUCUCAUGAUAGUGAAUAAGUCUCACAAGAUCUGAUGGUUUUACAAAGGGGAAUGCCCCUGCACAUGCUCCCUCUUGCCUGCCGCCAUGCAAGAUGUGACUUUGCUCCUCCUUUGCCUUCUGCCAUGAUAAUGAGGCCUCUCCAGCCACGUGCAACUGUAAGUCCAUCAAACCUCUUUUUCUUUAUACAUUACCCAGUCUUGGGUACUGUCUUUAUUAGCAGCAUGAACAUAGACUAAUGCAACCUGGAUGGGACACAGGGUGCCCAGAUAUUUGGUCAAGCAUGAUUCCAGGUGUUUCUGCGAGGGUGUUUUGGAUGAGAUGAACAUUUAAACUGAAGGAUGUUCAGUAAAGCAAUGUGCCCUCCCUAAUGUGGGUGGGCCUUACCCAAUCAGUGGAAGGCCUGAUUAGAACCCAAAUGCAAGAGAGAAUUCUGCUGCAGAAGGCCUUCAGGCUCCAUCUGUGAGGUCAGCUCCACCUGCUUCUACCACAGACAGCCUUCAGACUAGAACCAUGGCAUCGGUUCUCCUCACUCUCCAGCCUGUUGGCUCAUCCUGUGGAUUUUGGACUUGCCAGUUCCAACAUGGUUCAAGCCAAUUCCUUAUCACAAAUCUCUGUCUGUAUAUCAGCACAUCCUGUGGGUUCAGCUUCUCUUGAGAACACUGACCAAUCCAAUCACCGUUACUCCCGAUGACUUGUAGGUGAAGCCCCUUAAGGAAAAUUUCUUUCACAAAUGAGAGCUAGGGAAAGAUUUACUCUUCCUGAGCAGCUAAAGUAUUUUCUCCAAUGGCCACGAGAACCUUAAACCUUUCCUUCUUUCCACGCUCCCAUUGGCCGCCAGGAACUUGCAGCUUGGCUACAGCAAUCAUGAAGGACCUGACUGGGCUCAGCACAUGUGCCCAGGCCACCCAGGUAGAGGUGGAGGGCAUGGGAUUCAAGCCCAGGCCAUCGUUGGCUCUGAACAUAUACCUGAAACAACCUCCCUACCAGUUUUCAAGGAAGAGGAGGAGAAAGAGAAGGAGAAACAGAGAACGAAGAUGCAGAAAUUAGGAAACAGUCCCCAGGACCACCCUCACUUCUGACAGCAAUUGGAAGUUCAGGGGUCCUCAAGUUCAUCAUCCUCCAUUUCAACAACCCACUGAAAGUUGUAAUGGUUACAGUUAUGGUUUAUUACAGUGAAAGGAUUAAAAUCAGCCAAGGGAAGGCAUGCAUGGGGCAGAGUGCAAGGAAGUUCCAAUCUCCUUCUCCCAGUGGAGUUAUGGACCGCAUGAAUUCCUCCCAGCAAUGGAAGGAGGCUGCCCUGCCUGGAGUGAAGAGUGCAUGGAGCAGUCUCAGCCGACCCAGGUGGGAUGCGUAACAUGGCCGAGAAAUCCACCCAUGCUGCUGAGAGCUACUGCGCCAUGGGGUCAUGUGUCACCUAACUGACUUAGCCCAGCCUGACUGAUCCCCCGUGUGUGACCAGACAUCAGCACAUUCAGAGGACCUCAUACUGAGAAUUGGUGGACCUUUCAGAAUGGACAUGACCACUCAAAGUAGGGACAUUACUCGCUAUUUGAUGGCCCAUGUGGGAUCAAAGGCCACUGGGGUUCCCUCAAGGCACAGCACACUUAGAAUCCCAUAAGUCCUCAGUUCUAAGGCAUGUAUUUUUCAUACUUUGAUAAUUCUGAAAUCAAGUAUAGCUUCUAGUAGAUAUUAAAACUCAUUUUCAGAUCCUGCAGAAAGGAGGAGACAGAAAUAAAGUUGCCAUUCCCUGCUUUUGUAUGAACCCAGCUGAGCAUAAACCGUAAUCUAUUCAACCUCUACCGGGUGUUUGCCUUGCGUCCCCACACGUGGUUGACUCAUAACCUAAGUUUGAAUCCCUAAUUUUCACUUUAAAUAACUUCAGCUACUCGGGAUGCUGAGGCAGGGGAAUCGUCUGAACCCAGGAGGUGGAGGUUGCAAUGAGCCGAGACUGCGCCACUGCAUUCCACCCUGGGUGACACAGCAAGACUCUGUCUCGGGAAAUAAAAUUAAAUUAAAUUAAAUCAAAUCUUCAAAAAUAUUGCAGUACAAUGCAGCACUGAAACAAGAAGCUGUUGUGUAUGUGAGAUUUCCUGUCCCACAUUGGGCAAUGCAACUGAAGGCAAUAGAAACCAGGACAUUGCUCAGAAUAUGCCAUAAAGCUCCACCAUGCUAAGAGUUUAAAAAAAAGAAAAGAAAAGAAAGAAAGAAAAACAGAAAACCAAAAAUAAAAGAAGAAAAAUAAAGCUCCACCGUGCAGCUGGAGAUGUUAGCAUGAAUAACCUCUAGAUGAACAUAAUCUAUCAAAAGGUUUUUGCUGUCAGAAGAAACAACAGAAAGUAGAAUCAGACCCAGACCUGUCAAAAUUAUCAGAAUAUAAUAUAAAAUAAGCAUGAUUAAAGGAUUAAGAGAAAAUAUUUAAAACAUAAAGAACAAGAGAUUAUAAAAUGACCAAGCAGAUUUGGAAAGACCUAAAUGUAAUUCCAGAGAUGAAAAUAUAUUAAGUGAUACUAACAGAUGGUCAGACAUGGCUGAAAAUUAUGUUGGUGAACGGAAAGACAGAUCUGAGCUAUGGCCCAGAAUACAGCACAGAGAGACAAUGGGAGACAAGAAGGAGCUGCCAAGAGGCAUGAGGGGUGGAGUAAAAGCUACACUGUAUGGUCCUAGGAGCUCCAGUAGAAGAGAAUAGAAUAGGGCAAAGGCUAGAUCUGAAGGGGAAAUGGCUGAGAAGUUUUUAGAACAGAUGAAAAACAUCAAUCCCCAGAUUUGGGCAUCCCAAAGAAUCCAACCUAGGAUGAGUGAUAAGCAAUCCAUAGCUGGGGACAUCAUAGUGACACCAUACAAUACCAAGAGGUGUUUUUAAAUGUACCUGGGAUUUUGUUUUAAUCAGGUACAUUAACAUGACAGACAUGGAGACAGCUGCCUUAAAAGAAGUUUAUUACUUACAGUUCCCAGGAGCAGGGGGCAUGCCAUGCUAUGCAGUCUACAUGAGGAAGGACGAGGGUUGGUCAGGAGGCAGAGGGAGCAGGGGAACACAAGGGGAGACUUUACUAUCACUACUAUUACUAUUGACAUAGUAAUAAUAGUAAUAAAGUACCAUAGUAGUCAAGACUCUCCCCUUGGUGGUGGAAAGUUAAGUGAGGGUGUCUCCUAUGGGGCAGAAGGCAAAACACAGAUGUUGGGGGUUGUGGCCAGAGGGUUUGUGAUAUGAUUUUUGUGCACCCAUGAAAACACAAGGAUAGUAAGGAUAGAAACAAGCCUGGCUAUAGUUUGGCUCAUGAUUUCAAGAUACCAAAUUACAGGACAUCAAGAAUGAUUAUUACAGUGGAGUGUAGCUUAGAAGCAGCCAGAGAGGCAAGGUUGGCCCACAGCUGACUUCUCAACAGCAAUGGAUGAGCGGAAGACAGUGGAAUGACAUUUUUAAGGUGCUAGAGUGAAGUGACUACCUAGAAUUGUAUACUCAACCAAAAAUGUUUAAAUAAAGACACAUGCUAGAGGUUUCUCUUGGGAACAUACCUACGAGUAUAUACGCUUAGCUGAAGGGAAUAUGCAUCUGGCUUCAUGGACGCUUCCAACAAUAGCUUAGUUGGGGUUCCUUCCAGUUGCUUCUGUGAAAUUAAAGAAUUCAGACUUAAAGCUGUUGGAACUGUAUUCAGAGCCUUGAGAGGAACAUGGCUAUGCAACUUGAGUCACAUGGAAUGCAACUGCAACUUCUACCUUUUUUUUUCCCUAUAAAUAAUUAAGAAGACCAAACGACUUCAGAGAUAAGAAUCCCUUGAAUUUCUACCCCUCCUCAUGGAGUAAUAAAGUAUUUUCCUUGGAAUGCAGCAAUCUGUAACCGAUCAAGUCACUGUACGCACUGAUCGUGUAUGAAAAAUGUUGUAAUCCUGCUGAAAUUUCUCUGUCUCUGCCUAUGUAAGAGAAAUCUUAACUUCUCCACUUUGAAACAGUGACCCCAUUUGUUUGGAGUCAGUGUUGCCCAAGUGGCUAUCCUCAUGCUUUGGGCUCAAAGAAUCUCUACAUUUAAUCAUAGUUUCUGAAUCUCACUGUUUAAGGUUGACACUUCUCAUCCUCACCAACACGGGCUUUUGAGUGCUUGCCAAGCUGGUGGGUGAGACAUAGUGUCUCGGUAUAGUUCGGGGUUGCAUUUUCAUAUUGACUUUUCUUAUGCUGAUUGCCUUUGGGGUUUCUUCUCUUGUGAAGUACCAGUUGAGUCUUUGGUUGUUUCUUUUUCUUAGGAAUUUGUAGGCAUUCUUCAUUGUAUUAACCAUUACUUCUUUUUCCUGUAUUCUGAUGCUUUGACAUCUGGGAACGUGCUGACCCUGGAGGGAUGGCCCCUCCCAGGAUUAGCCAAUUUCUAGAAAUGAAGUCAUCUGUGAGUGCACCUUUCAAAUGUAAACCAACUAACUAAUCCAGAGCUCACAUUUGCAACGACCUCUUCUAUCAGGUUCUCAUACUCAGGGCUACCAUCCUCCUGCCAUAAUCACCCCAGGGCCAGGUACCAGACAGGCAGGGACAGUCCCUGUGCCCCAGAGCCUGUAACAUUAUUCAAACUAGCCCAUCCUAUGCCUACUUGCCCUGCCUCACUCGUUUUUUCCUACAGAAACCACAAUCAAGGCUCUUGCCCACACUUUCCCCUUAGUCCCUAUCCCUCCAGACCAACUCCCCUGCUUCCCUGUGCCCCCCAUCCACCCCGGGGUGCAGCAUGUCCCCUCCCCUGCAGAUCUGUGAGUAACAAACUAUCUUUUCAAUAAUGGUUAUCUCCUGAUCUGUUGGCCUCAUCAUAUCUGAAUAAUAAUAAAACCUAUAGCAGCCGGGCGUGGUGGCUCACACCUGUAAUCCCAGCACUUUGGGAGGCCAAGGUGGGUGGAUCACGGGGUCAAGAGAUCGAGACCAUCAUGGCCAACAUGGUGAAACCCCGUCUCUACUAAAAAUACAAAAAUUAGCUGGGCGUGGUGGUGCACGCCUUUAAUCUCAGCCACUUGGCAGGCUGAGUCAGGAGAAUCACUUGAACCCGGGAGGCAGAGAUUGCAGUGAGCUGAGAUCAUGGCACUGCACUCCAGCCUGGUGACAGAGCGAGACUCCAUCUCAAAAAAACAACAGCAACAACAAAAAAAAUUUUUCUUCAUACAAAUUAUUUGUCAGUUCUAAGCAUUGCAGUAUCUUCUCCCAGUUUGUAGUUUGUCUUUUCAUGCUUCUUAUGGUGUUUUUUGUUGGUUGGUUGGUUGGUUGGUUUUUGAAACAGUCUCGCUCUGUCGCCCAGGCUGGAGUGCAGUGGCACAAUCUUGGCUCACUGCAACCUCCACCUCCCAGGUUCAAGCAAUUCACCUGCCUCAGCCUCCCGAGUACCUGGGAUUACAGGCAUGUGCCACCAUGCCCAGCUAAUUUUUGUAUUUUUAGUAGAGAUGAGGUUUCGCUGUGUUGGCCAGGCUGGUCUCAAACUCCACACCUCAAGUGAGCCGCCCGCCUAACCUCCCCAAAGUGCUGGGAUUACAGGCGUGAGCCACCGUGCCUGGCCCUUACCAUGUUUUUUGAUGAACAUAAACUCUAAAUUGUAAUGUGGUCAAAUUCAUCAAUUGUACUGAAGGCCCCAACUGGGACAAUAAGGCAAAAAAAAUAAACUCAUAAAGACUGGAAAAGAAGACAAAAUCCUGUCAUUAUUCACAGAUAACGCAAUUAUCUAUGUUGAAAUUCCAAAAUAAUCUACAAACAAGUUAUUCAAAAUAAGAACAGACUCUACCAAGGUUUCGAGUUAGAAAGUCAGUGUGGGAAACUCAGGAAGAAAGUACUGCCCAUUACUGUCUCUUGAGGACCUGAGGCUUCAUCUCUACAAACACUUCCCCAAUUACAGAAGCCAAGGGAGGGACAUGUGGCAUGUCCCAGACAGCUCUUAAAGCUUCUCUCAGGAGGUGACACACCCCACUAUGCUUGCACACCAUUGGCCAAAACAAGUCACGUGUUCAAGCCUAACAAAUGUGAUUGGAUAGUCAGUCCCAUGAUUAGGUUACACCAUAUAAGACUCCAUCAUAGCCAAGUGGAGUGAGAUUCUUCUGCUGGUUUUGAAAAAGUGAGCUACCAUACUGUGAGAGAAGAGGCCACAGGUUAGAAUCUGAGGGCAACCUCUAGAAGUUGAGAGUGUCUCCAGCUGACAGCCAGCAAUAAAACAAGGACUUCAGUUCUACACCAAAAGCAACUGAAUUCUGUCAACAACCCCAUGAGCUUGGAAGCAUAUUCCUCCUCAGAGCCUCCAGUUGGGGACCACAGUCCCAGCCGCCAUCUUGAUUUCAGCCUUGUGAGAACCCAGGCAGAGAACCUAGCCAACCUGGACUUCUUGCCCUAGAAAACUGUGAGCUAAUAAGUGGGUAUUGCUCUAAGCCACUAAGUUUGUGUAAUUUGUUAUACAGCAUAGAUGACUAAUACAGAAUUUGGUGGAGAUUGGAAAUCCUACCAUGUGCCUGAACUAUUUAAAGCUGCAAAUACUGUGGUAAGAACACUAAUGAUCACCAUAGGCUCCUACCUCAUACCUCACCCAAAAAUCAGUUUCAGGGGUUUAACAGUUAAACAUCAAAGGCAGAACUAUGAAACAUUUAGAGGACAAUACAGAGUAACAUCUUAGAGCCUCGGGGGCAGGGACAUCUUAACAACACAUAAAAAGUACCAAUCCUAAAGGAAAACAAUGGACUAAUUUGGUCGAUGUAUUUUUAGGCAAAUGAAAAUUAAGAUGUUUGCACUAAUUAAUGCCAAUAAAGACAAUUCCAAAGGAUAUAUUUCAGGUCAAAGAGAAAUUACCACAGAAGGAAUAUGUAAGGUGCAAGAAAAGAUUGUGUGCAAAGAGCAUGGGGAACAUUUGGGGAAAUCUAAGCAAACCUGACCAAAUAAAACAAGAAAAGUCAGGUCUGCUUGUCGAAGUCAAAAUUAGAAGUAAACUGUAUUAGGUCCGUUCUCACGCUGCUAAUAAAGACAUACCCGAGACUGGGUAAUUUAUAAAGAGAAGAGGUUUCAUUGACUCACAGUUCUGCAUGGCUGGAGAGGCGUCAGGAAACUUACUGUUAUGGGGAAGGGGAAGCAAACACAUCCUUCUUCACGUGGCAGCAGCAAGGAGAAGUGCUGAGCAAAAGAGGGAAGCCCCUUAUAAAAACAUCACAUCUUGUGAGAACUCACUCAGUAUCAAGAACAGAUGGGGGAAACCGCCCCCGUGAUUCAAGUAUCUCCACCUGGUACCUCCCAUGACCUGUGGGGAUUAUGGGAACUACAAGAUGAGAUUAUGGGAACUACAAGGCACACAGCCAGACCAUAACAUAAACGAUAUAACACAAUUGCAUAUAAGUCAGAAGAGGAGAGACAGGAGAUGAUUCUAUGAUUUUGUACCAUUUGGAAGAAGCAUGAAAUAUUGAUUAACUUCGACCUUUACAAGUUUAGCACACCUGGUCAAAAUUUCAGAUCAAUUUAACAAUUUGUCCCUGCCAGGUCCUGCAGAUCAAAUUCUUCAACUAUGAUUAACUCCUGAAGGUCAAAUUCAGAUUUUAUUUUUUAGCAGUUUUAUUUUUGAGGGCAUUUUCGUUUCACCUCUUCCAAUGGGUAGAUGUUUCUUUCAUGAUACACCACAGCCUAUUAUUGUUAAGGCUUCAAGCCUCCCAGCCACUGACCUCUUCAAGCAAGGUAAGUUGUUAUCUGUGGCCCCUGAAUGUUCCUCACUUCGCCAGUACUUACAGUGAGUGGUACAACAUCAAUGCAAAGAUAGCUAUUCAGAGAAAUUGCCAAUUGUCAUGGGCCUCUGAAAAGGGAGCUUUUUCCACAAAAUCCAACAUUUCCCUGGAAACAUGGCUUCACCUUCUAUUCUUAUGAUUUACAGAAGUCACAAAGAAAGCACCUACUGCUAUUACUGGAAUUUCAGCUCAUAGUGUGGUCAAAAUCUAUAAUUUCUGUUGUGAUGUAUGCAAGCAUUACUUUGAAUGGCAUCUGACAGAGUUUGGUGGUCCAGGUCAUUACUGGCAAAUCAAGAGUCCUGUUUCAGCCACAAAAUCAAGUGUCAUCGCAGCCAUGCUAUGGAGAGGGAAAUAUGGGUUUUGGGUAAUGUAGAUAUUAAAAUAUAUUGUAACCGUGAGACCAGCUCAAACUGAUCAACCAUUGCGUAAGUUGUUACUGGUGAUGCAGAGCCGGAAUUGCCCAGGCGUGCACAAGAGAAAACACUUUAACCUCCUGUUAAUGCUGCCAGCCUGGCAGACCAGCUGUGUGGGCAUCAACUGGGACUAGUUAUAAAUGCCAUAAAAGCUCCACCCACCCCAGAUCAGAGAGACAGAUUUGAACACUGCCUCCUGUCUCCUUGCCAUUGACUCACAAUAAAGCUCUUUCUUUUUUCCAAAAGCCUGUGCCAUAGUAUUGGAUAGUGAGCCCACCACUCAGUAACAAUUUGUUGGCCUCAUAUUUGGCCAAAUGUAUAUGGCACAACUGAUUUUAAAAUAAUCCUUUCUGCCGGGCACAGUGUCUCAUGCCUAUAAUCCUAGCAUUUUGGGAGGCCAAGGUGGGUGGAUCGCUUGAGCCCAGGAGUUCAACACCAGCCUGGGCAACAUGGCAAAACCCCAUCUCUACAAAAAAUACAAAAUUUGGCCAGGCAUGUUGGUGUGCACCUGUAGUGCCAGCUACUAGGGAAGCUAAGGCAGGAGGAUUCCUUGAGCCUCGGACGCAGAGGUUGCAGUGAACCGAGAUCACGCCACUGCACUCCGGCCCAGGUAACAGAGGAAGACCUUCUCUCAAAUAAUAAUAAUAAUAAUGCUUUCAAUUCCCUUUUAUUGCCUACAUCACAACAAUUUUCUGUUAACUAAUAUGAUGUUUUGACUUUUGGUCUUAGUAUGUUUUAGUACAAAUAUUCAGAGACAAAUUUUUCAUCUAAGAGACAAAUUAUUCAGUUGAUCCAAAAUUUCUAGGGUCACCACCAUAAGAACAGAAAUUGAAUAUAUAAGUUCCAAAGUAGUGGAGGAGGAGAAAAUAAAAUGAGAAGAAAAAUAAACAAUCUGGGCCAGGCGCAGUGGCUCACACCUGUAAUCCCAGCGCUUUGGGAGGCCGAGGCGGGCAGAUCACAGGUCAGGAGUUCGAGACCACCCUGGUCAACGUGGUGAAACCCUGUCUCUACUAAAAGUGCAAAAAAUUAGCUGGGCGUGGUGGCAAGCACCUGUAAUACCAGCUACUCAGGAGGCUGAGGCAAGAGAAUCACUUGAACCCGGGAGGUGGAGGUUGCAGUGAGCUGAGACCGUGCCACUGCACUCCAGCCUGGGCAACAGAGCGAGACUCUGUCUCAAAAAAAAAAAAAAAGAAAAAGAAGCAAAAGCAAUCUAAAUGAAGCUACAAAAAGAGAGAAAAGACUACCCAUGGGGCAAACUCAAAGAGUGGAAACAAAUCCCCCAAAGUUAUGUUGAACGUAAUGGCAACCACCCAGGCCUGGUCAGUGCUCUGAACUUGACCUAGAGAAAAGACCUUCCGCCUGCUGCCUGCUCCUCGUCCUUCAGGUUGCAGAGUUCAUGCCGCCUUCUCAGAGAGGCCCCUGCUGACCUCCCUGGCUGAGCUCGCUUCCCAUCUCUUUGCUUUCAUAGUGUGGUCCUGUUUGGUUAGUGCAGGCCAUCCCCGCUACAUGCAGAUUCCACACUUGUGACUAUGCCCACUCGCUAAAAAUGCAUGUGUAGCCUCAAAUCAACACUCUCAGUGCCUCUAGCCACAUAUAGACAUGUGCAGGUGGCAAAGCGUCUGCACUGCUUGACGUCCAUGUUCCUAGCUGAGGCUGAACCAGCCGACACACAGCCUUCUUGUCUUGGCUCUCAACCUGUUGUACUGAAACAGGUGUCAUUUCUGCGAUGUACUUAAUGCCACUUUAUCCACGUGUUUGUGCAUUUUGCUUGUGAUUCUACCACUUAAAGUGCCGUCUAAUGUUCCUAAAUUGGAAAGGCUGUGACAUGCCUAAUGGAGAUAGACUUGCGCUAGGUGAGCCUCUUUCAGGCAUGAGGUAUGGUGCUGCUGGCCAUGAGUUCAGUGUUAAUGAGUCAGCCACAGAUAGAAAAUGAGGUGUCUUCCAACAGAAACACACAUAAAACAAAGGUACGUAUUGAUCAGUUGGCAAAAAUGUAGCCAAGGCUUGUAGGAACCUAACUGAUAAGGUUUGGCUCAGGGGCCCCACCAGGAAUGCAUCUCCUUCUUUGUUGUAGCCAGUUUCUAAGAUGGCUUCCAUAUUCCUCCCCACUGGUAUCCACACCCUUGUGUAGUGCCCUCCCUCACUUAAUAAGACUGACCUCUGCAACCAAUAGAAAUGAUGGGGUGUGAUUUUCCAGGCUAGAUGAUAAAAGAUGUGGCUUCUUGGAUCACAUGCUCUGGGGAAAAUCAGCCACCACGUUGUGAGGACACUCAAGCAUUGCUGUGGAGAGGUCUCCGUUGCCAGGAGCUGAGGCCUCCCACCAGUUUGCCAAACACAUGAGAAUCUGCAUUUGGAAGCAGAUCCUUGGCCUCAGUCAAGCCUUCUGAUGAUGCAGCCCAGCCAACGCCUUGACCACAACCUCAUGAGAGACCCAGAGCCAGGACUGCCCAGCUAAGCCACUCCCAAAUUCCUGACCCACAGAAACUGUGUGAGAUAAUAGAUGUUUCUUCUUGUGUUAACCCAUUAAGUGCUGGGGAAAUUUGUUGUGCAAUAAUAAACAACUGAUACAUACCUCUUUGGUUUUUCAGAGUCCUUCCCUUCCUCAGAAGCCAGGGUCAAGCCCACCUCCAUUCCCACUCCUGGGAAGACUGCUCUGAGGGUUGGCCACAAUUUUACCCUCCCCUGGGCCCCACACAGUGAACUUGACAUACACUUUGG
rnacentral:lncRNA from 10 species